GGCACCUAUAUAAGGGGCGCGCGGGCGCAGCUGAGCAAGACAUUCUCUUCAGCGUGCGAGAAUAAAAGGGGUGCUGUGAGGGAAAGGCGGCGGUGGCGACGACGACGGCGGCAAGCGGUCUCCAGAGCCAAGACACUAUGCGUCACCUGUAAGCAGGGAAGCUGACUCUUUGGCCGCUGCUUUUUGUGUGCCCAGCCCCACUUGCCCAGUCUGCCCGCCUCUGUGAUCCUCCGCAGCACCUGCUGGAAGUCCGCCGUGCGUCACUGAGGUGGUGUUCCUGCUGAUGUUUCAGGAGCUGCUGCAGAAGGAAGAAGCAGCAGCGUUGGGACCUGGGUGGCAGGAGCAUGCUUGAAGAGGAUGCUGUUGAUUUUUUAGGUCAGCUAUCCUGAUUCUGUCCCAGCUCCCUGUGUUGCUCCCAGCCCUCUUCCUGUAAAGUAGGAGAAGGUGAGAAAAUGAAUGUCAUUCACUCUGUUCAAAACUACUCUGUAACAACUGAAAACAUAGGUGUGUUAUCAGCAUUGUACUUUUCCAGAAUGUAGCAUUAUAUCAGCCACUUUAAAGAGGAAGUACUCUGUGCCUGCUGAAACUAAGACAAUACCCACCUCUUGUCCUGUCGCAUUUGUGUUAUGCUGAAGUCUUGUAACAAUUUUAUAUGUCCUAAUUAAUUAUUAUCUCCUGUCUUACUUUUUGAUGUGUAUACUCAUCUAAUUCCCAUAGCCUGUGGUCCAUCCGUGUAAAUUAUCUGUCCAUGAAAUUUAUUUAGUUCAUUAUUUUGGGCUGUAUCUGUCAUAGCAGUCCUUCAGUACAAGAGAGAGGAUCCAUUUUUGGAUUACUGCUUUCUAAGCUAGUUCUGACUUCAUCAGGAUUUGUUCUUCUUCAGUUGGAGUGGUUCUUACUGUAAUAGUGUAAUCAAGGUCUACAACAACCAUAGUGAUGAUGGCAUGCAGUAUUGUGUAGCAACUGAUAUCAUACGAUAUGUAUUUUUAUUUAUUCUUGCACAGCAUCAAAUCCCUGGGAGGUACAAAACAGACACCCCUCAUUCUGCUUUACCCACCACGUGCCUGCAGAUCUGAGUGUUGACUAUCCAGGCACCUUUUGCUAAAUAUGUGUCCCAGCGUUUGAAUGGAAUGCACCCAUGGCUCUUAAGGUUGUCUUUAAUAUGCCAGUGUAUCAUUUGAUUUUUCCAGACACCGUGCAUGGUAGGGGAUGUGAUAUACCAACUCAUUGCUGUGCUCUUUUGCCCAGGUGAUUAUGAGAUUGUUUCAGAAAUGAGUAAUGUUUUCUGACUCAGUUCUUCCUGGGAUGCUGUGUCACCAGAAGGUUUGCUUUUCAGGGCCCAGGAUAGUACUUUGGGCAGUAGCAAUGUGCAUGGGGUCUGUUGCCAGCCAUCUGGUGGUUGCUUCCACCGUUGCAGGACUGUGGUGCUUGACUUGUCAACAGCAGUCACAGAUCUCAUAGUUCACUUAAUAUUAGGAGUCAGACAGUUUCUUUCUCUUUCUUCUCCUCCCAUUUUAGUCAUAGCCUUGCUCUACCUUCAUCUUACCUUGUGAGUUUCUCUCCUUGUUAAAUGUUCUAGCUUUUUUAGAUAUUUUUUCUUCUUGCUUAUAAGGGACAGCAGUUACAGGCACUGGUUGGUUCUUUGGUUGAACUGUGGGACAUAUCACAGGGAUUGGAGUGACCACAAGGCUGGUUGUGAGGCUGUUCUUUGUAAUUGGGUCAUCCUGCUUUGUUUUCAAUUUUUGGAACUGUGAUUAAAUUCACUUGUAGCUAUUAUUAGAUAAUAAAAUUGAAUUAGAUGCUGCAGAAGUCUAGACAUCAGUAAUAAGCGCUUGUGUCUAUUGCCUAAUGUACUCGAUAUUUUUAAAAUGAAUAAUAAAAAAAGGUUAGUUUGCCAAAUACAUUUAAAAAAAAAUAAUUCCAAACUAGCUUCCUUCUGAGAAUAUCGAGUCAUACUAUCUAAUACUUCUCAUUUAUCUCAUGUGUUUAUGGAACAUAUAAGUUUAUAAGCUUAUUAUGCAUUCUUUCAACAUUGUUGUACUUUGCACAUACCCUCUCAAGCAUUUCAUAGUAACUGCCUGUCGAAAGUCAGAAAGAACUUCCUCUUACAUCCUCCUGCCCAUACAUAGAAUAAAAGACGAGGGAAGGGAGAAAAAAAUCUUCUGUUCCUUGUUUGUCUGUAGUACAAUGCAUAGGGAAUUGGGAAGGCAAAAUCUUUGCUGCUGUCCUCCCGUAUAUGUUUAUGAAGCUAUAACAUAUCAUUAAAUUAGAGCUACUGGUAGGUUUUUAAUUCCAGCUGGGGAUCGUUUUGUUCAUUUAAUCUGAUAUCAUGUGUAUCAGAGAUAAGGGAUCUUGUCCAGGGUUCUCUGCACUGGGAUUUUUUGGGAAAUCUUACUAACUGCCUCGGCAUUGAGGCUUUUCUUCAG